rnacentral:misc_RNA from 1 species
UUUGUUCUCUGUGCCAGCCAUGAUGAAAGAGUGUGUAAGAAAUUGGUGGAAUUAAAUAGAAUUCAUUCGUUGUCAGAUGACUGAUACUAGAUGAAGAGUGUUGUAAGGAAUUUUAGAGUAAAAUGGCAUCUAACUUGAAAGAAGCGCUGACAGAGGAGAUAGCUCUUGAGGGUUUAGAUGGUAUCACCAUUAACACAUUAUGGAUUAGGUUGUCAGAGAGAAAGAACUUCACAUUUAGUUUAGAUGACAACUCCAAGCCGUAUCUGUGGAAGUGUGUUCUAGAGCUGAGGGGUCUAGAGUUCUAUCGGUUGAGCAAACCACGGUCUGAUCUUAUUCCCUACAACAGGUUCCAUUAUAUUGACCCAGAAACCAGACAUAACUUAGAAACAGAACAUAUUCCAGAUGACAUUUAUCCUUUGAAAAUGAUUGAUGAAGACGGUGUGCUUGGUUCAUGUGUUGAAUACAACUCCCGGAAGAAUAUAACCGAGCAGAUUAGAGGCAGUAAACCCACACUUGCUGAAGCUAUUGAGGAGUAUGGGAAAACCCUGGUUAUUGUUGCAUCACAGUCGAUUAGGCAGCGAACUCUGAUAGGAGAUGAAAAUGACCCUGAGUUUGAAUUUGAUGCUUUCAGCUUUUGUAUAAUUGAAAGGAUUGGCAGAUCAAGGUCUAGCGGUGAAGCAUCACAUGGGAAGCUCAGUCUACAAGUGUUCAAAGAGUCUUCCAAGACAAUGUUUUACAUGAUGAAGAAAUUAAAACGACUCCGUAUCUUGAAAAAGCAGAGGUUGACUGUGGUAAAGAAGCCAACUAAUGCAAAGACAAACUGUUUCCUGUAUCACCUGAAUAGAUACUACCAGGAAGUCGGGAACAGAAUAAAUCAGGAGUUAAUGAACUUAUCAGUAUACCUGUCAGCAAAACCAGAAUGCAUGGAGGAAGUCUUCAAAGUGAAAACUGAUCUUAAACUGUUUGAUAUGUUCAAGAAGGUAACACAACAUACAAUGCAUUCAGGUGAAAGAUAUUUUGAAUUCAUAGAUGUACCAUGGCGAGAGAGAUACCCUGAUGCCAAACCCAGAGAUUAUCUAAUGAAAAACCACCGCCAAGAGAAAAAGAUUAGGCAUAUUCGGCUGAUAAGAACAAUAGAUGAGGUGGCAAAGAGUUUGAGAAGUGACGCAGAUAGAGAUUCUGCUGAUGAGGAGGAGGGACCAGAGGAAGAAGACGAGACCACUGGUGAUGAUGUUCCAGCACCAAAACUGCAGUACCACAGAGUUUUUGACGAGCCAAACUUGUACCAAGUGAUGAAGUUGAUUAACAAAUCCGGGUCAAAAGGCACGUCGCAGGUAGAUUUGCAAAGUAUCAUGAAUGCUCCCCGGCUAGCAGUGAGGAGGAUCUUAGUUUUUCUUCAGAAGGCAAAUUAUGUAACAACUGUAUUAGAGGACAGAGGAAGGCAGAAAACUAUUAUGUACGUAGGUGUGCACAAUGUACAGGGGAACGCUGCCCGACAGAGCGUCAAGGAUGAGAUGAAGAAGUUCCAAAAUAUCACUGUCGAACCUGCCGUACCAGUAAAGGAAGAUGAAACACCUGGUAAACCAACCAAAUCAGGAAAAAAGAAAGCUAAAAAGGAAAUGCCAAAGAUAACAUUUAAUGAAGAGCAGCCAUCAGAUGAUAAGGUGUCGGAGAUUCGAGAAGAACUGAGUCAUCUUGAUGAUAAUCAGCUUGUUACCAUGAAUACCAUAUCUCCGGCAAAACUUGCAUUAAAGAGGGAAAUCAUGAUGGAAAUGUCACAAGAUGCAGGGGUAAAAGUUGUGAUUGAAGACAUAAUACCUGAACAACUUAUAGAUAAAAAGACGGGCAAUGUGAUCAGAGGAAUGGACAGAUUUGGAAGUAUGUUGACAGAGAGCCAUGUAAGAAGAGCUAACUGGAUGCUUGAAGUCAUAAGUGCGAUCAAAAUUGUGGAAAACUUUCGUCUGCUUAAACUGCUAAGGAACAGAGAAAAGGAGAUCAACCUUACAAUUAAUAUGGACCAGAAAUCUCUGAAACGAUUAGUGUGUGCUCUGUGUGAAGAGGGUAAAAUGAAGUCGUUUAAAGCAACUAUAACCAUGGAUGAAAGAACAAAAGAGUUUAUCUAUCUGUGUGCACCAACCGUGAAAACUGAUGAUGAAACUCUGUUGAGAAUGAUCGAUGAAGCAAAGUUGCGUUACUUCAGUGUAUCACAAGAGGAACUGAGAAAUCGGAAAUUGUUAAAGAAAGUCCAGGCUAAUGCUAAAUCUGAAAAGGGAAAGAAAGAGUUAGAAAAGAAGAAAGAUAUUCCAAAGUCAGCUAUGGAUACAAUCAAAAGUCACCAAGAGUAUAGAAAAAAGUUAGCCGAGAAAGCCCCUGCUAUGAAGUAUGAUCGUAAAGCAGGGAAGAGGUAUGGUCUAUUACCAAAGAUGUUAAGAAUUCAGGCUGCCCACCAGUACUUGUUCUAUCUUAGCUACGAUACACAUGGUCAUCCUGUGAAAUCUGCACCCAGAGCAGCCACAGUCAGCACUAGUCAGGAUAAAAUAGGAAGCGAAUCUGUACCUGAAGCAGAUACCAAUGACAAGGAACAGAAUAAGAUAAGAAGUGAAGCUGAACCAAAAGCAGAUGCAAGUGGCAAUGGUCAGGAUAAAAGUGGAGCUGCAACUGCACCUAGAGCAGAUGCCGAUGGCAAUGGUCAGGAUAAAAUGGGAGCUGAAACUGCACCUAGGGCAGACACCAAUGGCAACAGUCAGGAUAAAACAGGAGCUGCAACUGUACCUAGAGCAGACGGCACUGGUCAGAAUAAAACAGGAGCUGCAACUGCACCUAGAGCAGACGGCACUGGUCAGGAUAAAACAGGAGCUGCAAUUGCACCUAGAGCAGACGGCACUGGUCAGAAUAAAACAGGAGCUGCAACUGCACCUAGAGCAGAUGGCACUGGUCAGGAUAAAACAGGAGCUGCAACUGCACCUAGAGCAGAUGGCACUGGUCAAAAUAAAACAGGAGCUGCAACUGCAACUGGAUCAGAAAAUUGGAGAGGAGAAGAUAAGUUGGAUAUUGGUGGUGGGUAUUCACAACCUGUUGAGAAUGAGCCAGUGGUGUACAAUGAUGAAUUGACCUGGAGACGAUAUUUGCCACCUGUACCAGUACAUACAGGUUAUCCGAGAGGUUGGGUGUUGCUGAGCGACUGUUUGCUCAACAUGCCAGUCUGUCUGUUAUGUGAGGUGGUCAAUGUCUGCUACAAAAUUGAGGGGUUGGAAGAGGUUCUAGAUCAUCCCCAGAAGAGAUUUUAUCCUGUUAUAAACCUGCCAUUCUCACUGACUGCACAGCUGCUACACUCCAAAAAGUAUGUCCAGUCAUUCUCAACAUUGUGUUGCUACUUGGCUGAAAUGGGUCUGCUCUCAUUUGGUCGGGAACUGCUGAAAGAAAAAGACCAGAUGUUUAUCUACCUACACAAAAAUGCCUCCCUGUUAGACACAAAGGAAUCCAUGAAGGGGUACAACAAGACUCGAGCUCCGGAGGGGCAUGUUUUCCCUACCACCAGCUUCCACUUUGAAGAGCUAUGUGAUCUGCAGCCAUACUGGGAAAUCCUGCAGAUCACUGCAGUGAAUAGUAACCUUGGCUGUAAAUCAAUGGUCCAUGACGAUCUGGAAGAUGAUACAUCAUUUGAGGUGAAGUCAUUGAAACAGGCAAGUGCUUCAUACUCCCCAGAGACAGUUGAAGAUGUUGGCAUUCUUCCAGGCGACCUGAGGGGUGGGGCUGGACUAGAUUCAUCACUUUUCAGCCAUACUUUGAAAAACUGGUCAAGUUCUGGUGUCUUAAAACCUCCAAGAAAGUACAAGAAAUUGGCAAUAGGGCUAGGACUUAAAGGAGGAUUAGACGUUGAUAGUAAAAGAGAAGUUGUGGAUCAAUUCAACAAGAACCGACUGAUUGGGAAAGAGAGACUGGUUCUUUCUGAUAAUCCAAACAAGCCUGUGGCCCUGAAGAAGGUCACACGAGAAGUGAAAGGUAACCGAGGUGGCAAGGGUGUGCUGAAAAGAGUUCACACGAAGGUUACAAAAACUCACAAAUACAUCAGUAGGAUGGAAGGAAAAUUAAUGAAGAAGAGAUGUAUUAAAAUCCCAGAGCACAUCAAAAAAAGAAAAAAACCGUGUGAGAAAGGGGAUGAGAAAGACAAGGACAUAUACAGGGAGCGUUGUAAGAUGCGAGUGGUGUGGACAUCUAAAGAAGACUCUGUGUUGCUGAUGUGUCGUCUGGCCACAUUGAUCAUGGACAACAAGAAGAAAACAGCUUUAAUUUCUUAUGUGAGGAUUCGAGACUAUCUGCACGAGAAAUGUGGGGCAGUAUCCAACGACAAGACAUCUCAGGCAGUGCAGAGAAGGAUCAAGUUUGUCUUGAAGAAUCCGCAGACAGAAACCAAUUUAUUGCUUUAUUACCGAGAAGCCAUGCAAGAUGAGUUUGUGUUGACAAAUUAUGUUUCAAAGGAGUUCAUUUUGACAGAACCCGAUUUAGAACCAAAGUUCAGAAGACUUGUUGAAUACCUCCUUGACAAGUUCAAGUCGUUGGAUUUACAGAAAUGCUCUCUGCCAGAUAACUUGGAUGAUCUAAGACAGAAUUACACUAUACAGUACAUCGGAAAAUUGCAACCUCGUAAAGUGUAUUCUGACGUGAAAAGCAAAGCUGACAUUUGUCAAGAUGUUCUCAGAAACAUUUUACAUAGUGCUGUAUUACUGCAAGAUAAGCAAGGAAGAACACAUGAGAUGUUCAAGCUGCUGAGUCAAUAUCCUGAUGCUUUACUGUCGGCUGUAGUGAGAGAACUUCGAUCUGACGGUCUCUUUGUUAUAAACAAGAAGAAUUACCAACAUGAAUCAGUGACACAGUUACAGACAGGAAUGGGUCUACGAAACUUCAAAGUCUCUCAGAGAUACCUGUUUCAAUACAAACACAAAUAUUUGAGUGCUAUGUUUGAAGAGAGUGCAAAGCUGUUAACAGAAAUGUGUGAUAACCAUCUCCAUGGCAAUGAAGAAGAUGAGAUGCUCACCCUGUCUUUCCAUCCAAAAAGUGGAGAAAGUGCCAUGCUGCUUCCACUGAUCUUGAAUAGAUGGCUGGAUAUCAAAAUUACCAUGCCUCAAGAACUUGUAAUAGUGGAUAUGGAGGGUUUCUAUAAGUUUCCAUGGGGGAGGGGAAAGAACUCUUCAUCUCAGACGAAAGGGGACAAGAUGCUUCAAGACAUAAAAAUGCCCCAAACCCACAAAGAUAAACGGUCUGGAGCCAGAUCAGAAGGUUCUGAAACAGAUAUUGGUGGAAAAGUUAGAAGAGAAAGGGAAAGUAGAACAAAUCUUGAUAAAGAGGAACAAGUCCCAACAGAGAAUAGUGGCAGAGCAAUGGAGACUGCAGAGGAUAUUGAAGAUGAAAAUAGAAAAACAAAGGGAUCUGGAAAACUGUUAGGCAAAGAUUCUAUUGAAAGAACAGACAGCAAGGAAACCUCAAAUAAAACUGUUGAAAAGGGAAAAGAAGAAAUGUCCAAUGAAUGUACACAUAUAAGCACAAAUCACAGUACAGUUGUUGUUCCAGAUUGGGAUCUACCUGAGCAAACAGGAGAGUUGCCUGGUACCAUUGCAGGUAUAGCAUCUCGUACCUUAUUGUCCCUCCGCCGAGCAGAGGAUUGUUCGUUUGAUGAAAUCAGGAUAUUUAAUGCUCAGGACUACUUUGUAGUGAAUUCAUGUGAAAUUGGUAUUAAAAUAAGGGAUAACUUGGAGGAAGGUAAAAGUGGAAAUCCAACAGUGAAAAAAGUGGCGAAAGAUAAAAGUAAAGACUCUAACAAAAAGGAAAAAGGCAUGGAUAAGAAUAUUGAAAAUGCAACAGUGAAAGAUGAUGAAAAUGCGGAAAAGGCAAAAUCAGAAGAAGAAGAAAUGUCAUUGAAAGAGAAGAUGAAAAGGGUGUCGCAGUUGCUGUUAGAUAAAGGCAAGAUCAGGAAUAUCUACACGGAGCUUCAGAGAUUGUUACCCUUUCAGAUAAAUAUGGAGCAGGUAUGGACUAGCUUUAAAGAGCAAGCUACAUCAGAAGAUGACCUCAAGUUGUACAAGAAUGUGUUCUAUGCCAUUGACAGUCACGGAGAAAUUGGUGUGAGAUCUUACGAUUUAAAGAAACAGUUUAAAGAUGGUUAUCCCUGGAGAGAAGCAGUUGAUGUCCUGGUUCAUCAGAACGCAAAUGAUGUGAUUGCCUAUUUGUUUCUGCCACUGGUUCGUGACUUCUGAAAUGCGGUGAAGUUGAAAAGAGUUUUCAAGAAAUAUUAGAUGACUUUGAUGUUGAUCACUUAGAUGGAAAAAGAGUAAUAAGAUGGAUGGGGUUGGAACAUUUGAGUCCCAUGGCAGACAGAAAGUGGAAUAAAUUGAAUCAAGCAAGAUGCUUAAAUCAAUGAUGAUAAGAUAUAAGACUGAUGGAGUGGGAGGAUUGAAAAGAUAGGGGAAUAAAGAGGAAUAAAUUGAAUGGGAAAUAUUACAAGGUGAUCAAUGCUGUUGACAAGGUUUGAGAAAGAAACAAAGAAAGAUAAAUCACAGAGAGGGGUAUUAGACAUUUUCCCAGAAAAUAAUGGGAGGAUUGCAGGUUUAAAAGCAAAGAAACAGGAUAUGAUGCAGAUUGGUGAAUUAACCACAUUAUGCCUGCAGAUACUAAAUGUGCUGUUGGAAAACUAGGUGACAGACAACCUUGAAGAUAGUAAAGACUUUUCCAGAAUUAUAAAGAUACAGUAAAUGUGGAAAAUAGAGUCACAAAGAUAAAUAACUGUAAAGCAUAUAGCCUCAAUGAUAUGGUAACUGUGGAACACACAGACACAAUAGCUGUGGAAUACAAAGUCACAAAGACACAAUAACUGUGGAAAACAUACACAUAGACACAAUAACUGUGGAAUACAAAGUCACAAAGACACAAUAACUGUGGAACACAUACACAUAGACACAAUAACUGUGGAAUACAAAGUCACAAAGACACAAAAACUGUUGAACACAUACACAUAGACACAAUAACUGUGGAAUACAAAGUCACAAAGACACAAAAACUGUGGAACACAUACACAUAGACACAAUAACUGUGGAAUACAAAGUCACAAA